rnacentral:rRNA from 1 species
UACGUAGGCAGCAAGCGUUGUUCGGAUUUACUGGGCGUAAAGAGCGCGCAGGCGGUCGUGCAAGUCGCGUGUGAAAGCCCCCGGCUCAACUGGGGAGGGUCACGCGAUACUGCUCGACUCGAAGGCAGGAGAGGGAAGUGGAAUUCCCGGUGUAGUGGUGAAAUGCGUAGAUAUCGGGAGGAACACCAGUGGCGAAGGCGACUUCCUGGCCUGUUCUUGACGCUGAGGCGCGAAAGCUAGGGUAGCAAACGGG